GCGGGUGUAGCUCAAUGGCAGAGCAGCAGCCUUCCAAGCUGAGGAUUCGAGUUCAAUUCUCGGGACCCGCUCCA
rnacentral:tRNA from 1 species